rnacentral:rRNA from 1 species
UACGAAGGGGGCUAGCGUUGUUCGGAAUUACUGGGCGUAAAGCGCACGUAGGCGGGUUGUUAAGUCAGGGGUGAAAUCCCGGAGCUCAACUCCGGAACUGCCUUUGAUACUGGCAACCUGGAGGCUGGAAGAGGUUAGUGGAAUUCCCAGUGUAGAGGUGAAAUUCGUAGAUAUUGGGAAGAACACCAGUGGCGAAGGCGGCUAACUGGUCCAGAUCUGACGCUGAGGUGCGAAAGCGUGGGGAGCAAACAGG